GUCGCUCUCAGCGCAAUGUGCUGGGUGAGGAAAGUCCGGGCAACGCAGAGCAUCAUAUUUCCUAACGGGAAGCCAUUCGUGAGGGUGGAGUAAUGUGACAGAAAACAACCGCCAGCCGCUUCGGUGGCAGGUAAGGGUGAAAAGGCGAGGUAAGAGCUCACCGGGUGCUAUGGCGACAUAGCAUGCCGCACAUCUUAUGAGUUGCAAGGUCAAGUAUAUCGGCAUUUAAGGGUUGCUCGUCCAUUGCCGAGGGGUAGGCUGCUACAUAUAAUCGCUGUGGCAACACAGAGGUCAGAUAAAUGACAAGACGGGACUUCGGUCCCGACAUAACCCGGCUUAUAGCGAGA
rnacentral:RNase_P_RNA from 1 species